UACAGAGGGUGCAAGCGUUGUUCGGAAUUAUUGGGCGUAAAGGGCGCGUAGGCGGUGCGGUAAGUCUGCAGUGAAAUCUCUGGGCUCAACUCAGAGUCUGCUGUAGAAACUGCCGUGCUUGAGUGUGGGAGAGGUGAGUGGAAUUCCCCGGUGUAGCGGUGAAAUGCGUAGAUAUCGGGAGGAACACCUGUGGCGAAAGCGGCUCACUGGACCACAACUGACGCUGAGGCGCGAAAGCUAGGGGAGCAAACAGG
rnacentral:rRNA from 1 species